rnacentral:lncRNA from 1 species
CCCACCCCCACCCCAUUUCUCUUAGCAAUCUUGGGGCUCUUUGAACUGGCCAAAGUCCACACCAAAGCUCCAGUGGGAUCCGCAAAUCAAAGGCAGAAGAGGACAAUAAGGGGAAAACCCAGCCUAAAAGGAAGGGGUCUGUGUUGGGUCCUGCUGAUGCCCAGGCUAUGAGGUCUCCUGCAGCAGCCUUUGUGAGUGAGCUCCCUGGCUGGUUCCUGUUUUUUAGAAUCUUUCUGCCAGUGGCAGUGCUUCUGCUCCUUCUCAUUGCUUACUUCAGGAUCAAACUCAUCGAGUUUAAUGCAGAAAUGGCCCAGGCUUCUGAUCCCCAAGGCAUUAAGCAAGAUGACUACCUCCAGUACCAGAGACCGGGGCACCAUCGCAUUCAGAGAUCAGCCACGAAAGCGAAAAGAGUUUAAAGGGAUGCCCGUUGGCGGAUAACCAGAAACAAAUGGCUCCCGUCUAGGUACAGAAAACUAAAUCUCCAGGGAAACAAAAUGGUAAGAGGUUUGUCCUAUAUGCCAUCCCACACAUCCGCAGCAACCGCCAUCCAAAGAGUCUCAUCACUUUAUUUUAUCUUCCGUGACAUCCGGCAGAACCCGCUUUUCUGAUUCACCAUCGUCAGGGGGUUGCUAAAAUCUAAUAUGAAUUUUUAACAAGAAUUCUCUCUCUUCAAUGCUUGGCUUUGUGGAAGAAGACAUCUGAUGGCCUAUUUGAGUUCAGUGGUUUUAUGACUCCCAGGCACAAGGGCAAUUAUACUCAAUACUUACGGAAUAUCAUUCAUGAUGGAGAAUCUCACUGAUAUGUUUUAAAAAAUACAUAUAGUCUCAAAUUAACAUUUGCAUCACCUAAAAGAAGCAUAAGCUCUAUUGCACUUUGAUUUUACAUGUGAAGAAAGUAUCCCAGUGAGAUCAAAUAUCUUGCAAAAGCUGAGAAAGGUAGAGCUCUGUGAACACUAUCCCAGCCAGAUUUGAUGCCUUCUCUCCUCCAAGAAACUUCUGCUACAAUAGUAUUAUUACCACGGUGCUGCAUGUAUUCCUUCCUUUCAUGUGUGCUUUCAUGAAUUAUAACCACACAGAGAAAAAAUAAAGCAAUACCUCAAAAUAAAUGAAGUUUCUCA